UGGCGCAGGGGUGCGUAACGCGUAAGCAAUCUGCCUAUGGGAAGGGAAUAACGACGAGAAAUCAUCGCUAAUACCCUAUAAUGCAGCGGCAUCGCAUGGUGAUGUUGUUAAAGUUGCAGCAAUGUAACACCUAUAGAUGAGCUUGCGUCUGAUUAGCUAGUUGGCGGGGUAAUGGCCCACCAAGGCAAUGAUCAGUAGCUGGUCUGAGAGGAUGAUCGGCCACACUGGAACUGAGACACGGUCCAGACUCCUACGGGAGGCAGCAGUGAGGAAUAUUGGGCAAUGCCCGCAAGGGUGACCCAGCAACGCCGCGUGGAGGAUGAAGGCCGUAAGGUUGUAAACUCCUGUGAGAAGGGAUGAAUAGUUUUGUUUCGUAAGGGACAGAACCUGACCGUACCUUCAGAGGAAGCCCCGGCUAACUACGUGCCAGCAGCCGCGGUAAUACGUAGGGGGCAAGCGUUGUCCGGAUUUACUGGGUGUAAAGGGCGCGCAGGUGGGUCGGUAAGUCAGAGGUGAAAUCCUGCAGCUUAACUGCAGAACUGCCUUUGAUACUGCUGAUCUUGAGUUCAGAAGAGAGUAGCGGAAUUCCAGGUGUAGUGGUGAAAUACGUAGAUAUCUGGAAGAACACCGGUGGCGAAGGCGGCUACUUGGUCUGACACUGACACUCAGGCGCGAAAGCGUGGGUAGCGAACAGGAUUAGAUACCCUGGUAGUCCACGCUGUAAACGAUGAAUACUAGGUGUCGGGUGGCAACACUCGGCGCCGCAGCUAACGCAUUAAGUAUUCCACCUGGGAAGUACGAUCGCAAGGUUGAACUCAAGGAAUUGACGGGGGCCCGCACAAGCAGUGGAGCAUGUGGUUUAAUUCG
rnacentral:rRNA from 1 species